rnacentral:tRNA from 1 species
UACUUUAUAGUAUAAUUUUAUACUUGCAAAGUAAAGGAUCUUUUUUAUCUGAAUUUU